AUUGUGAGAAGUUUUUAUGCUGCUCUGGGUCAUGGCUUGGAGACUGCCUCCUCAGAGCUUAAAUGGGCAGAUUUCAUAUUCUUCCCAUCCUUGGGAAUACUUCAUAAAACAGAAUUACAAGAGUCCAUGUUUUUUUCGGAGCACCGUGCAGUGGGAGAGCCUGUCUUGCCUUUUUUUUUUUUUUUUUUUUUUGCUGUCGUUUUAUACAGGUAUUUUUUUUUCUUUCUAUUUCUUUUUUCUUUUACUUUUUAUUUCCUCUUUAAAGAAAAUGAUUGGCAGCACUCAACCUCAAGGAACUGAUCUAUCAAAACCAAGCUGGGAUAAGUAUUUCUUUGAGAAAUAAUAUAUAUUUACCAACAGGCUCUAUUCUGCCCCCUUGUUUCACAGCACCUUGAAUAUCACUUCCUUUUCCUGCCCAAAGCAGGAGGUAACCCUGUAUUAAAAGCAUAGUAGGUGUGUGUGUGUACAAUACACACAUACAGCACACAUGUCUCUAUUUAGAGAUUCCAUGAUAUGUGUUCUAUAUACACUUUACAGUCCCUUUUCUUAAUGUCAAAAAUAUAAUUUCCAGCGUCUAAAGAGUGUUUUCAAAGACUUUUGCCCUAUUUUUUAAAAUAGUGUCUAAAUAUGAUUAAGUGUCUUCCCAGAGAAAAGUCAAAGAGGCUCCUAGUGUUAAUUUCCAUAUUGCUUAAGACUUAAGCUUUUAAUUUAUUUUAUCAAGGUUGAGGGAGUAUAGUAAUUGUUGGAACAACGCCCUUCCAAAAGAAAUCGCCUGCACUUGUUUUUAAGUUCAAUUUGUUUUCUCACACAGAUUUUUGAUACACUCUUAAAUAAACUAGAAAUCACAAUUAUUUUAAUGUGGCAGAGUUGUAACCAGGAAAUUGCAUAUAUUUUCAUAAACUAGGCUGUUAUAGAUUUAUUAAUAUUUAUUAAUAACAUUAUUUUAAGAAAUUUUUUUAACGUCUUUCAACCCUGAAAGGGCCUGCUUGAAACAUACACGGCAGCAAAAUCACUGGAGUCCAGGGUUUUUGUCACACACACACACAGCACAGAUUUUUUUGAUUAUGUAGAUUUCUUUUCCUACUGCAGUUUCAUAUGCAAAGCAUGCAUCAGCCACAUCCAUGCUAUCUCCUAAAGCAGUCAUUCUGAAACCCAAUCUGGGGACAGUGCAGACUAAAUAAAAUUUCAUUUUGAUUUGGCCUCCCGCUGCGAAUGGGACUGCUUUGUCUCAGCCGACAGAACCAGCAAGCCAGAAAGGGAAUGAAGACAUUUGGAGAAGAAGCGUUUACUGAAAGGAGAUUCCUGGGCUGGAGGAAAACCAUGAUCUACAGUUCAUGUUGACAGAUAUUGUAUUUUUGGUCCUAGAUCUGACUUUUGAAAUGACUUAUCACAAAUUCAAAUUUAGCAAUCAUGAGUGAAGUACCCACGAUGUGCUAAGCAUCUACCUCUGCAGAUAGAAGAACACUUACUGUUCCUGAGCAUGGGAGGGAAUAGAAGUUCCUGGGUCCUGGCCUCACCUCAUCAGGCACUGCCAAAUUUGACACCUCCUUCCUGUUCACGGCAGUCCUUUGCGAUAGGGUAUUAGAUGCCACCAAGUAGCUGCAUAACUCACCCAUUUGGUCAGAGCCUGGGUCUAAGCCAGGUCUGACAGACUCCAAAGCAAGCCCUGUUUACAGCAUGACUGGGAUCCAGUGGGUAAGACCAACCUGUCAAUGCCCAAGUGCAGAUGCAAUAAUAGUGCUUCAACUGAUUGUUGCAAACCCCUCAUGAGGGAUGCCAAAUCCCAGUGCAGAUGGUAACACAGGCUAUUUUUCACCUCCAACCUCUAAUAUCCUUUCUUUCUUUCUUUCCUUUUUUUUUUUUUUUUUUUUUUUUUGAGAUAGAGUCUCCUCUGUCACCCAGGCUGGAGUGCAACAGCACGAUCCCAGCUCACUGCAACCUCCACCUCCUGAGUUCAAGCGUUUCUCUCGCCUCAGCCUCCCGAGUAGCUGGGAUUACAGGCACCCGCCAUCAUGUCCAGCUAAUUUUUGUAUAUUUGUAGAGACGGGGUUUCACCAUGUUGGCCAGACUGGUCUUGAACUCCUGACCUCAGGUGAUCUGCCCGCCUCAGCCUCCCAAAGUGCUAGGAUUACAAGUGUGAGCCACCACGCCCGGCCCCAAUAUUCUUUCUUACUAGACACUGUGUAAGCUAAUUAUUCAGCAAGUAUUUUGCACUGAACUCUAAAUAGGUAAGUAUUUUGUGUCCAUUUUACAGACAAGAGAAAUAAAAUAGGUAAAGUAUUUCCCCAAAGCUAUGAUAAAUGAAUCCCAUAGCUAGAAAUGGCAGAAAACCCAUGGAAACUUCUAUGGGGAGUGGAUGUCUGCCUUACCUUGGCACAAUGCUUGGUUCUCAGAUAUCAUUUCAGUGACAUUGCCAAAUGGGAGAAACCAUGUCUGGUACACGGGACUCAAGCUGCCUCAAAAUAUCCUGAAUGCAUUUUUUCAGGGGAGAAAAUCCAUUUGAAUAAGAAUAGCUAGUUAUAGCUUAUUAUGUGCCAGACACUAUUCAAAGUGUUUAAUGUGUAUUAACUUCUCAAAACCACUCUAUAAGUUAGGUACUAUGAUUUCCAUCUCCAUUUUACAGACGAGGGAACUGAGCUGUCAAAACUAAGUGACUUGAUUGAGGCCAUGCAGCUGGCGAGGGGAGGACCAGGAUCUGAACCCAACUGGGUCUCCCAAGCCUGGGCCACUGAACCAUUUCACCUCUUGGAAAAACUUAAUGGUCAGAGUGGCCCACCCAGUCCAUGGACAGCAUGGAGUGGUAUGGUGGAAGAGGAGGGAAGAAAACCUGUGUAUUGUAAGUCAUAUUCUUCUAUGGUGUGAAGGUUAACGUAAGUUUUAAGAAAGUUUUUUUUUUUAAUUUUAUUAUAUGAUCUUGCUCUAAAGGGAUGUAAAUUCAGAUGCUGAAUUGCACACAUCCUUUCUCUUUCAUAUUUUCAAUAUUGAACGUAAUUUCAAUAUUUAACAUAAAACAAUGAGUACAUUGUCUCCACCUCAUUGUUUUUGGGUGGUGUUUGUGAGGAGCCUGCGUUCUUUGGAAGGAAGACCUUUCAGAUGACCUGACCAGUCCUCCUCUUCAGAACCCGGAUGCUGGCGAAGCAGUUUGAAUUUUAUGCUUGUGAAAGGGCUCCGUUGAUGAUUUUGAUGUCUGCAGCUUUCCACCCGUAUGACCAGACACAUUCUCACCAGCUCCAUAUAUCAAGAUAAGGAGGGGAAACCUGGUAGCUUUUCCUUCUGUUAACUGCUGGCAUCAGCUGAGUGAUGCAGACAUUUCUCUAUUAAGAACUGAGCUGAGACUGAAGCUUCAUUUUGUAUGAGACUGUGCAGAGGUCGUCUAAAGUCUCUCCCAGGUGUGGUUAUUAAGAUCCUGGAUUUGAAACUGUGACCUACUGGUUUGCCAGAUGCCAAGAACAAAUGCUCUGAAAUUGAUUUGCCAAAAGACAUGAUGAGCUGCUCUAACUUGCCUGGGAAGAGUGGAAUAUUUAACCUGUGGGUGAGACUCCCUCUUGCUACCUAUCAGCUUUGCCACUGCUCUGAUAGAGAAACAUCUUGGGAGCAGAGUUGGUAAGAGUGAAUCAGACGUAUCUGCCGGAAUAGGACUCGUGGCACCUGCUUGUUCGAUCCCUCAUUUCCACCCCCUCUAUCCUUUGCCUAUUGUCAGUCAUUGUGGUUGGUCCAUUCAGAAGAAUCGUGAAUAUUCAUAGCCACCCUAAUUUACCAAUAUAUAUUCAAUAAUGUCAGAGAUCUGUACAUGUGAUUCCUGAGCUUAUUACAGUAACAAGUUUCUCCAA
ensembl:lncRNA LINC01102 long intergenic non-protein coding RNA 1102